GGGAGGUAGUGACAAUAAAUAACAAUACGGGGUUCUUUCGGAUUUCGUAAUUGGAAUGAGUACAAUUUAAAUCUCUUAACGAGGAACAAUUGGAGGGCAAGUCUGGUGCCAGCAGCCGCGGUAAUUCCAGCUCCAAUAGCGUAUAUUAAAGUUGUUGCAGUUAAAAAGCUCGUAGUUGAAUUUCGGGGUCAGUAGAUUGGUCGUGCCUCUGGUAUGUACUGGUCUUACUGGCUCCUCCUUCCUGAUGAACCGUAAUGCCAUUAAUUUGGUGUUGCGGGGAGACUGGACUGUUACUUUGAAAAAAAUUAGAGUGUUUAAAGCAGGCUAACGCUUGAAUACAUUAGCAUGGAAUAAUGAAAUAGGACGUUCGAUCUUAUUUUGUUGGUUUCUAAGAUUGACGUAAUGAUUAAUAGGGAUAGUUGGG
rnacentral:rRNA from 1 species